GCCAGUGUGGCAUAGUGGUUUGAGUGCUGGACUACAACUCUGGAGACCAGGGUUUAAAUCCCAACUCAGCCA